AGUCCCGCCCUCGCCCCUCCCCGCCCACCGGCCUCGCAGUCACCGCGGACGCCAAUCUUGUGCAUGGAGUCGCCAUUUUGCUCCUAGAGAGGCCGCCAGGAGACCCGGCGCUUUCUUCCUUCUGCAGCUGAGGCUGCGGCGGGGCCGGGGCUGGGGUCGGGGCCAGGAGGAAUUUUGUUGUCAGAGAAUAAAAGGAGGUUGUCCAUAAUUGACUUUAAGCAGCAAUCAGUAAAACAUUGAGCUCUUCAGCUCCGCCUUUCUUGCUCUGAAAAUUGGAAAACCAAGAAGGUUUUGAUGUUUUGUGUGACGCCACCUGAAUUAGAAACCAAGAUGAACAUAACCAAAGGUGGUCUGGUGUUGUUUUCAGCAAACUCGAAUUCAUCAUGUAUGGAGCUAUCAAAGAAAAUUGCAGACUUUUUCCCCCUUUCUCUUCUCUAGGCGGCUAGGGGUGGAGAUGGGCAAAGUGCAGGUUUACCAGGAACCUAACAGAGAAACAAGAGUACAAAUUCAAGAGUCUGUGAGGGGAAAAGAUGUUUU
rnacentral:lncRNA from 1 species